UGUGCCUACGGGGGGCAGCAGUGAGGAAUAUUGGUCAAUGGUCGGGAGACUGAACCAGCCAAGCCGCGUGAGGGAUGAAGGUACAGAGUAUCGUAAACCUCUUUUGUCGGGGAACAAAGGCGGGGACGUGUCCCCGGAUGAGUGUACCUGAAGAAAAAGCAUCGGCUAACUCCGUGCCAGCAGCCGCGGUAAUACGGAGGAUGCGAGCGUUAUCCGGAGUUAUUGGGUUUAAAGGGCGCGCAGGCGGUCUGUUAAGUCAGCCGUCAAAGCCCGGGGCUCAAACCCGGCCCGCCG
rnacentral:rRNA from 1 species